rnacentral:rRNA from 1 species
UACAGAGGGUGCAAGCGUUAAUCGGAAUUACUGGGCGUAAAGCGUGCGUAGGUUGAUAGAUAUGUUGGCUGUGAAAUCCCCGAGCUUAACUUGGGAAGGCCAGCCAAAACUGUCUGUCUAGAGUAUAGUAGAGGUAAGUGGAAUUUCCGGUGUAGCGGUGAAAUGCGUAGAUAUCGGAAGGAACAUCAGUGGCGAAGGCGACUUACUGGACUAAUACUGACACUGAGGCACGAAAGCGUGGGGAGCAAACAGG